ACUCAAAUGAAUUGACGGGGGCCCGCACAAGCGGCGGAGCAUGCGGAUUAAUUCGAUGCAACGCGAAGAACCUUACCAAGGCUUGACAUGGGCCGGACCGGGCUGGAAACAGUCCUUCCCCUUUGGGGCCGGUUCACAGGUGGUGCAUGGUUGUCGUCAGCUCGUGUCGUGAGAUGUUGGGUUAAGUCCCGCAACGAGCGCAACCCUCGUUCCAUGUUGCCAGCGCGUAAUGGCGGGGACUCAUGGGAGACUGCCGGGGUCAACUCGGAGGAAGGUGGGGACGACGUCAAAUCAUCAUGCCCCUUAUGUCUUGGGCUUCACGCAUGCUACAAUGGCCGGUACAAAGGGUUGCGAUACUGUGAGGUGGAGCUAAUCCCAAAAAGCCGGUCUCAGUUCGGAUUGGGGUCUGCAACUCGACCCCAUGAAGUCGGAGUCGCUAGUAAUCGCAGAUCAGCAACGCUGCGGUGAAUACGUUCCCGGGCCUUGUACACACCGCCCGU
rnacentral:rRNA from 1 species